GACGAACGCUGGCGGCGUGCCUAAUACAUGCAAGUAGGACGCAGUUGCGCACGGGUGCUUAACGCGUAUGUAACUGCCUCUUAGCGGGGGCUAACUAUUGUAAACGAUCGCUCAUACCGCAUACUAGUAGAUGGACCUGCGUUGUAUUAGCUAGUAGGUAGGGUAAUGGCCUACCUAGGCGACGAUACAUUGCCGACCGGGGAGGGGGAUCGGCCAAACUGGGACUGAGAAAAGGCACAGACGCCUAAGGGAGGCAGCAGGAGGGAAUCUUCGGCAAUGGGGGGAACGCUGACCGAGCAAAGCCGCGUGAGUGAAGAAGGUUUUCGGAGCGUAAAGCUAUGUUGUUAAGGAAGCGGUACUUAACCAGAAAGGGACGGCUAACUACGUGCCAGCAGCCGCGGUAAUUC
rnacentral:rRNA from 1 species